rnacentral:lncRNA from 1 species
AAUUGCUUAGUAAUUGUGAAAAGUUAAACUUGAAUGAUGGAGAGAAAAGGAUGCAGAAUUAUAUCAUAGCAUUGAAAUCUUAGUGGCAUGAAGAAAUAGUAAAAAAUAUCAGAGUGCAUAGUAUAAUUGUGACAAAAUUUGCCUAAUAAAUUGGAGGAGAAAUCAACCAAGGAUGGAUGAGAAAACUCAUAGUAUAUAUAUAACUGAAGAUACAAAAUUAAUCCUAGUUGAAUUAGAUUGAAAUGAAUAAUUAGCC